GGGAAGUUGGCUCAGUGGUAGAGUGCUUGCCUUGCAUGCAUGAGGCCUUGGGUUCAAUUCUGAGUACCA
rnacentral:tRNA from 1 species